rfam:Staphylococcus pseudintermedius strain 063228, complete genome.
CGGACCAAGUAGAAGCAUCCCGCUUCUCACCUGUAGCGACGCAACAAGCUGUUGGCAGGUUAACGAUUAAACAUGUAGUGUAUGUUCAUGUUGACGUGAGAAGCGGGGGUUAGAUACCCUCGCUUUUUUUCGUACUU